UACGAAGGGGGCUAGCGUUGCUCGGAAUUACUGGGCGUAAAGGGCGCGUAGGCGGAUAUGUAAGUUGGGGGUGAAAUCCCGGGGCUCAACCUCGGAAUUGCCUUCAAAACUGGAUAUCUUGAGUUCGGGAGAGGUGAGUGGAACUCCGAGUGUAGAGGUGAAAUUCGUAGAUAUUCGGAAGAACACCAGUGGCGAAGGCGACUCACUGGCCCGAUACUGACGCUGAGGCGCGAAAGCGUGGGGAGCAAACAGG
rnacentral:rRNA from 1 species